UGUUCAGGCUGGCCACCAAGGAUGACAUUUUGCUGCAGCAGAGCCAUCAGAAAACAACUCCUGAUUUUAGUUGAUCAGAUUCAAGUCAAUGAAAAAAUGACGUUUCUGUGUGUCUACUUCGGGCUAAGCACCAGGGUAGGCACAAGAGAGAUCACAGGGAUGAAUUAGUCCUAGCCCCUUGGAGAUUAUCCUCUCACCCUCUCCCCGCCAUAGUUAUCUUGGUCCUUUUCACAUAUAUCUUAGCAGGUUCUGUUUCAGGCAAAGUUUCACUUCUGUAUAUGUUUGUUACUACUGUUCAUUUGAGAUCUGCCACUAACCCUCAUUAUGACCUGGGACAUGUCUGUGGCCCCUCCACAUGCUGGCAGGAUAAAAAUUGACCAAAUAUAUGAUGCUGUCACAUAGAUGGAUCCUAUUAUUUGGUGAUUACAUUGAAAUCUUUACUGUAAAAAUUGUGUUGUCAAAAAUGAAAACAGAUGAUACUGAGUAACUCACUAGUGCCCUAAAGUACUCUACAGCUUUUCAAACAAAAUUGAAUAUUCUUUUCAACAUUCUCUCUGUAAAAAAAAAAAACAAUUCUAUAUUAGUGACCCUAUAUCCAAU
rnacentral:lncRNA from 1 species